AGCAGUAGCCGCGGGAAUACGGAGGGGGCUAGCGUUGUUCGGAAUUACUGGGCGUAAAGCGCACGUAGGCGGCUUGGUAAGUUAGAGGUGAAAGCCCGGAGCUCAACUCCGGAAUUGCCUUUAAGACUGCCGAGCUAGCAGGUGAGAGAGGUAAGUGGAAUUCCGAGUGUAGAGGUGAAAUUCGUAGAUAUUCGGAAGAACACCAGUGGCGAAGGCGGCUUACUGGCUCAUACUGGACGCUGAGGUGCGAAAGCGUGGGGAGCAAACAGGAUUAGAUACCCCCGUAGUCCCUGUCUCUUAUAC
rnacentral:rRNA from 1 species